AAGCUCAACAUUUUCACUUGUAAUAUUAUUGCGUAUGACUGAUGGAGUUAAAAUCCUGUCAAAUGUCGUAUUCUUUUAGGUUUGCAUGCCAGUUUUGACGAGGAUGUUGACUCCUGGACUGUUCUCAUGACAAAUGCACCAUGUUGACAUCAGAUGGUUACAUUUUGUUCACUCUAUGAGGAAUUAUGUCUGAAGUUCUUUGAGCACAAACCUUACGAUGGAAGAGCUGCUAUGGGAUUUGGCAUGCUCAUUGGCAUCUCAAUUGGGCUCCUCAAUCUGAGUCUAGGUUUCAGUUAUGUUGGUUUCCCCAAGCCCCAUCUCUGACGCUGCUCGAUAGCACCUCGUCGACAUCUCUCAAGCAGCAGUGUACGUGGUGAUGCAGUAUCAUUCCUUGGACCUGAAUGUUGAACAUCUGUUCAUGUACAAUCUUGCUAAUGACAUCAAUAUACACUUGCUAAAGAUAACACGUAGUACCUGUCCUCAAGAAUUGAUAAAUUAGAGAAAUUAUACAAGUAUGCAUUGUAAGAGAUAAGCAGGCACAAAUGGAGCGACUAACUGCAAGGCGUUGCAAAGAAAUAGGAGGCGAGAUGAAGAGGAA